rnacentral:rRNA from 1 species
CAGCCGCCGCGGUAAUACGGAGGGGGCUAGCGUUGUUUGGAAUUACAGGGCGUAAAGGGUGCGUAGGCUGUUCCGUAAGUCGGGUGUGAAAUCCUGGGGCUCAACCUCAGAACUGCAUUCGAUACUGCGGGGCUAGAGGACUGGAGAGGAGAGUGGAAUUCACGGUGUAGCAGUGAAAUGCGUAGAUAUCGUGAGGAAGACCAGCGGCGAAGGCGGCUCUCUGGACAGUUCCUGACGCUGAUGCACGAAGGCCAGGGGAGCAAACGGGAUUAGAUACCCGAGUAGUCCCUGUCUCUUAUAC